UGGGGAAUAUUGCACAAUGGGCGAAAGCCUGAUGCAGCAACGCCGCGUGAGUGAUGAAGGUCUUCGGAUUGUAAAGCUCUGUCUUUUGGGACGAUAAUGACGGUACCAAAGGAGGAAGCCACGGCUAACUACGUGCCAGCAGCCGCGGUAAUACGUAGGUGGCGAGCGUUGUCCGGAUUUACUGGGCGUAAAGGGUGCGUAGGCGGAUGUUUAAGUGAGAUGUGAAAUACCCGGGCUUAACUUGGGUGCUGCAUUUCAAACUGGAUAUCUAGAGUGCAGGAGAGGAGAAUGGAAUUCCUAGUGUAGCGGUGAAAUGCGUAGAGAUUAGGAAGAACACCAGUGGCGAAGGCGAUUCUCUGGACUGUAACUGACGCUGAGGCACGAAAGCGUGGGUAGCAAACAGGAUUAGAUACCCUGGUAGUCCACGCCGUAAACGAUGAGUACUAGGUGUAGGAGGUAUCGACCCCUUCUGUGCCGCAGUAAACACAUUAAGUACU
rnacentral:rRNA from 1 species